AAACAAGCUGCACAAACACAUAAAAAGCAUGCCAGGAAAUAUGCAGAUUCAUUUCAGAGGAAUUUAAUGGACCUCAAAUGAGAGUGCUUUUCAAAAGUGUGAAAGCUAUUGAUUCUCUAAAGUAGGACCAGCCCCAGACAUUUUGCUGCCUGAGGCAAACUUCAGUAUGAGCCUCCCUCAAAACACAAUCAAUUGCAUUUAAACCUGAUUUGUAACCAACUCUGCAUUUUCAUCAACACAUAAGAUUCUGGGAAUGAAAGGAUGAGAGAAAAAAAGCUGCUCCUUUUAUUGGCCCAUGAAGCUCUGCAGUUGUUUUCUACCCGCAAGGAGCACGGAAGUGGAAUGUUCCAUCUCCACCACAUCCAGAACUCUCAACGGAGCAGCAUGACAGAGCAUGUACUGAUUGAUGCACAGCAACUCAUUACAGUCUCAGUAAUUCUGUCAGUCUAAUUAACUGGGAAAAUCACUUCCAGAGGCAUUUCACUGAUUGAACUCAAGCAUUUCAUUUUAAA